UACAGAGGUGGCAAGCGUUGUUCGGAAUUACUGGGCGUAAAGGGCGCGUAGGCGGCCUUCUAAGUCAGACGUGAAAUCCCCCGGCUUAACCUGGGAACUGCGUCUGAUACUGGGAGGCUUGAGUAUGGGAGAGGGAUGUAGAAUUCCAGGUGUAGCGGUGAAAUGCGUAGAUAUCGGGGGGAAUACCAGUGGCGAAAGCGGCACCCUAGCAUUUUUCUGACGCUCAUGUGCGAAAGCGUGGGGAGCGAACGGG
rnacentral:rRNA from 1 species